ACCUAACUGACGAGUCCCAAAUAGGACGAAACGUGAGUCUUGGAU
rnacentral:hammerhead_ribozyme from 1 species